rnacentral:lncRNA from 1 species
GGUGGCGGUGGUGGUGGAGGUGAAGGACCGUAAACGUGAGGUGGCGGUGGUGGGUGAGGAGCAUAUGGGUCUGCUACUGGUGGUGGUGGUGGUGGAGGACUUGGACCUGGACCUGGACGGUGGUGUCUAUGAAAUGCCAUGUUUUUGAAAGUUAGGUGAUCAAUACAAAGUGUUGUGCUGUUGUUUUUGUUUUAAGGGAUUUGGAGUUGUUCGUAUGUACACUAGAAACAUGUAUUUCCUUUGACGGUUUGUUGGAUGACGUGCAGAUGUUUGUGCCUCGGCUUCCUCAGCCAAUCAGAAUUUUAUUUUUGUCAAAAUUCGUUUCGUCUCCUCAUAUACUCCGUUUCAAGAGUGCAUAAUAUUUUAUUGACUAUUAUUAUUAUUAUUAUUAUUAUUAUUAUUAUUAUUAUUAUUAUUAUUAUUAUUAUUAUUAUUAUUAUUAUUAUUAUUAUUAUUAUUAUUAUUAUUAUUAUUAUUAUUGGUUUUGACUAUUUUAUGAUGUUUAGACUUUAGACUACAAGAUAUGAUGUCAAAAAUAGACCCAUGUAUAAUAAUAUUAUGUUGUUAUCUUUCAUUUUGAUAACAAAAUCUCUUCGUAUCAUCGCAGAUUAUUCAUUUUCAUUUUACGAAAAGUAAAAAAAAAAAGCAUGGUUGUAAAGAAACUGCACCAUUAAUUAAAUCGUGAAAAUAUUAUUAAUCAUUACUAUAUGAUUUUCUAACUUUCUAAUACCAGUAACCAUAUUAUAAUAUACUAACACACUUUUUUUUCAAUUACACCAAAUUAUUAUUAUUAUUAUUUUCAUAAUAAAUUGAAGCUGUAAUAAUAUUUUUAGCACCAUUCCAAUUUAUUCAAUAAAUAUAUAAUUUAUUAUUUUAUAAAAUAGGCGGCCUCUAACUCUAGUUGAAAAAAAAAGGAAAAAAAAUUGAAUCGAGAACAUGUUUGAGAAUACAACAAAAAUUAUACCAUUCAAAGAAAAAUUAUAAAACCUAAGGGGUAUUAACAAAAAUUCCUUGGACUAGGCCAGGCAAUGUCUGCCACUGGUGGAAAGUAGAUAUUUAUUUGCAUUUGUGGUUGUAAUCGAAAAUGGUAGGGAUAGUGAAUCUUUUAGGUGUAUUUCUUACGGGUGUCGUAAUUUUGACAUCGACUAAAACUUGUUUAAAUUUUGACAUUUUUAUUAGUGCAUUGAAUGUAACGUGUUGCUAUUACGAUGUAGGGAUGGCAAUAGGGAGGGGAGGGGAGGGGACCAAUCUCCCUAUACCCAUUCCUGAUAUUUUGUUAUGUCCCCGUUCCCUCCGCGUCCCCGUCAGAAUUGCUUAAGAGAAUCUUUAUCCCCUCUCUGAAUAAUAACAGGGGAUCCCCGAGGGUCCCCGGUCCCCGAAUAACUAAUAGUCUAAUACAUUUUUUUUUAUUUUUUUUUAAAUUAAUCAUAUUAAAAUAAAAAAUUCAGAUAAAAAUAAAGUUUAAAAUAUAUCUUGCAUUAAUAUUGAUCCAUUACAAAGUCACAUUCAAAAUAUAAAUUAUUAAAAUAAUUAUCUUUGUCAAUGACUCAAUCUUCAUAAUCCUACAAUAAAAAGAAAAAAAAUUAUUUUUAUAUCGGUAAUAAAAUAAAUAAAAUAAAUGUAGAUACUUAAUUAAUAUUUUUAAUAAAACUAUUUACCUCCUGCUCCUCCUGUUCUUCCUCGAGAAAUGUGGCAAAUUGAGAGCUAGUCUCAGAUUUCAAACCUAAAACAAUGAAAAUGAUAUAAGUAACGUAACUUAUAAGUGCAAAUAUUAAUUACUGUAUAAUAUAAUUACAAUGUAAAAUAAACUCAUACUGCUAUUGUAAGCUCGUAACCAACUUUGACAGCACAUUAAGGCCUCCAAUGUGUUUGGAUGAAGUUUGUUACGGUGUGCACUCACAACUCUACCACCGGUGCUAAAAGCUGAUUCAGAAGCAACUGUUGUAAUUGGAAUUGCCAAAAUAUCUCUAGCAAUUCGAGCUAAUGUAGGAUUCGAAUUAGGAUUAGAACUGUUGUAAAUUAUAAUUAGGCAGCUCUCUCCUGUAUCAUUGUGGUUUAGAUUAAAAAUUUAAGACUUUAAUUAGUUAAUUAAGUUUAAAAGUUUAAUAAUAUAACUAUUUUAAUAUUUAUUAUUUUUAACAAUAUUUAUAAUUUUGUUAUUUAUUUAUUAGUAAUUUUAAAAAUAAAAAUAAAAUUAAAAAUUAAAAUGGGGAAAUGGGUAGGGGAUGGGGAUUCCACCUCAUCCCCGUCCCCUCCCCGAAUAAAAAAUUGGGUAAAAAUUUUUCCCGUCCUCUCCCCGAAUAAAAAAUUGGGUAUAAAAUUAUCCCCGUACCCCCCCCCCCCCCGAAUGAGGAAAAUCCCCGAGGGUACCCGUCCCCGUGGGAAUUUUUGUCAUCCCUAUUACGAUGUCACGAAGUCAAGACUCUGUCCUGCUUUCUGCUUCGGCGUUUGUGAUUUGGCUUUGCCAACACCUUCUUCCCUUUCUAAUAUUGUAUUUCCUCCUAUGGUAGGGUGAAUAUUUACUAAUGCUGCAGUGCACACGUCACGAGAACUGGGCUUUCGGUUUGCACAGAUCGAACCCUGGGCUCUUGUUAAGUUUUAGCGCCCCCCCCCCCCCCCCCCAAUACCCAAAUACCAUCCAAACGGAUAAAUAACAACAAUGGAAAAUUCUCAUAGCACCUCUUUUAAAUUUUAUUUUUUUUUCCUAAAAAAUGAUGCUAUAAAAAAAAAACCAUAAUUUUUACUCUUCGAACCUAUCUUUAUAUUCAACGUAAUUUUAUUAAAUCCUAAAUAUAUUCUCAAGCAAUGGAUUUUUGUAAUCAUGUUUGUUCUUUUGCUGGAAUUUAAAUUGCAAUGGCAGCUAGGGGUGGGCAAUUUAUUCGACCUGAUCCAAUCCGAUUAAAAAAAAAUCAAGUUAGGAUCGGAUCAGAUGGAAGAUAAUAUCCGAACGGGUUGGCUAAAAAAAAAAACACACGCAAGACACUCAAACACCACCCACUCAUUCACACAGUCACACCACUCUCAGCCCACUCAAACUCAAACCUACAACAAUGAGCAGCCUACAGCCAACACUCUCGUCUCUCUCAACUCAACUUCACUACUUCAGUUCUCAUCUCGCUCUCGUCUCUCUCUCAAGUCUCAACUCUCGAGAUUCAAGAAAGAAAAUAGAAUUGUGACAAACACACUCUAAAAUAUUUUGCAAAGAAAUAUCAAAUGGAUGAAAAGAUAUAAAUGAAGGAUUCCUAAACCAACAGAAGUGGCAGUGCCUUUCUUUAAGCGCAUUCUCAAUCUUGCACGAGUGACUGAUGUUACUUACAAGGAUGAUAAUGGCUACACCAAUUCUUAUGUGAUCAAAGACUAUAUCACCCACUGCUUGAGAAGCCUGUUCUCUUUUGAGUAGUUUUUGCGAUGCAGAUUACAUCCUAUAUAAACUAUUAAUGUUGUUUUUGGAAUAAGCUCUGAAAUUUGUUCCUCAGAGAGCUUUUUUGCUGCUGUCAUCACAAUUAUCAAAUUCUUCCGUACAAUUAGUAAAGGCUUCCCUGUUUAUAUAUAUAUAAAUAAAAGAAAUCACCCAACAUAGUGUUGUUUAACUGAAAAAGGAAAUUCAAGCAUCCAAAAUCAAAAUAUCCAAAAUGAAAAUAAGGUACCUAAUACUUGAAAGAAAGGGAUAUUCAAUACCCGUUUCAAAUCGUGCAUAAUCAUCUAGCAUGGCUCUCAUUGUCCCUCUGCAGCGCCGACUUUUUCCAUUAUUUUCUGCCCUUCUUCACCUUCGUCAUGAACCGAUCAAGACCGAAUGGAUCAGCUUCUUCAGCCUCCUUCUCAAACUUAACCGGUCCGUCCCUCGUACCAGACCUCUCAGAUGUACCUGCAAAUGCCUUGUCGGGUUUAAACCGAUCAGUCUUUCUAAUCUUCUCCAACUGCUCAUCCGCAUUUGCUCCAUAAAUUUCAGCAUCAGCAUCUUUUUUGGGCCUGUAAAGGGUUGAAAGAGUCGGCUGUGCUGUAAACAAGCCUUUGUCAUACACAUUAUACUGAUCACCGUCAGUGGCAAAACCAGAGUCCAUUCCUUUCUUCUGAUUAAAAAGCCUUGCGUCAUGAGUAACCUCACCCGCUCUGCCUCCGCCACCAAAAGAGGCCAUCCCAAGGGCAACUUUCUCGCUAACAUCCCGAUCUCUGUCUCUAACAACCUUACUAUUCUUCUUCCCCAUAGCAACAUCCUUGGCCAGCAAAUUUCUCUCCCUCUUCCUCUCGCGACGUCUCUCCUCACGAAUUCUCUCCCUCUCCCUUUCCCUCUCCCUCAGCAAUCCCUGCUCGCUUUCCUUCAAUGUCUCCAUUGCCUUACGUGCUAAAUCCCGUAGCUGCUGCUCUUUCCUUUCCUUCUCCUUCGUGAGCAUCUCCAUCUGCACCUUGAAUCUUAUUUCAAUUGCCUCCCUCGCCUUCUGCUCUGCCAAAUAAAGAGCCUCCGACAAUUUAGCAAAUCCCUCAUUUACCUGAACCUCCAGAAGCCCUCUUCCUUCGGCAGCGAGCUGCUUAUCCAGCGGAAUUGUAAACCGCUGUGGGUUCUUCCAAUUUGAUAUACAUGGUGGGAUUCUCCAAUCCAGCUGAUCUUUCACAGUCAUAGGCCUAGGAGGGGAAUGCAUGACCGGUACUGGCGGAGAUCCCGAAGCUUUCGGCACACGCUUGUGCUUCAACUUUGGUGGCUCAAGUGGGUCCAAAGGCAUCGCCACCACUCUCAAAAUCCUCCUUUUUAGGGAUGGCAAUGAAUUGGAUUUGAUCCAAGAUCCAUGUAAUUCAAAUCCAAUCGGAUCGGAUUUGGAUCGGUUUAAAAUAGAUUUGGAUCAGAUGUGCGGAUUUAAGACGAAUCUGGAGUAGAUAUGGAUCUAUCGUAAUAUUUAAAUCCAUAUUCAUAUCCACUCAUCUUUUAAUUUUAUUUUAUUUUAAAAGUUUCUUAAUAAUUGUGGAAUGAUAAUAUGAUAAUAAAUUUUAUUCAUAGCAUAUAUAGUAGUAUUUACCAUGUAUUUAAACUCUUUUUUUUUUUUAGAAGAAUGUAUUUAAACUCUUAAAACUUAAAGGUUAGUUUUGUAAAUUUAAAGGUCAGCCAGCCUCAAAGCAUGUACAUGCAAUAUUCAAAUUGCAAUCCAAGUAAUAUAACCUGGUAAUUUAUUUUAUCAUAUUGGCCAAAUAAUUUUUAAGGAAUAUAGUUAUUCAUAUAUUUAGUCAAAUAUGGUCAUAAUAAAAAUAAUAAAGGACUGAAUAUAAAUCAUAUUUAAUUUAUAUGUCAUUAUUUAAUGUUGUAGGAAUGAGGGUAGGUGUAUCGUGGAUAUUAGAAUGAUGAAGGAGACAAUAGAAUAUUAGAUUGAUCUUACUCCUGCAAUUACUUCUAAAUGAUAUUUUAUUAUCUUUCUUAUUUGUUGUUUUGGUAUAAAAGUAUAAGCUACAAUAUUUAUUAUAUUUUUUAGAAAAAUUAUAUAAUUUAUUUGUUAUCAAUACAUUUUAGCCUUCAAUUUUCAAUCUAAAAAAUUAUUACUUUUUUAUUACGGAAUUUUAGAAUUCAUGAUGGAUCUAGAGCAGAUUUGGAUUUUAAUUUUUUUUCAGAUUUGGAGCGGAUAUAGAUAUUUAUUUCUUUUUUGGAUCUGGAUAUGGAGCGAAAAAUAUGGAUUCAUAACAGAUCUGGAGCAGAUAUGGAUCUUGAUUUUUAUUAUGGAUUUGGAUCUGGAACAAAUACGGAUCUUAAUUUUUAUUAUAGAUUUGGAUCUGGAGCAAAAUAAAUCCAACACAUAUCUACCUCAUUGCCAUCCCUACUCCUUUUAGCCCCAGAAUAGAAGUCCACCGAUUGUUGUGAUGGUCUGUACAUAAUAAAUUUGGACUCUAAUGACUGCGUAGGUGCAGCAUUCACAACACUGUUAACAAUCUUUUCAAGUUCAGCUUUUGUUACAGGAGUAGUCACGUCAAUCUCAUCUUCUUGAUCAGGAAAAGCGCUACCAUCAUCAUCAUCGAAAUCCUCAAGUUUCCGUGGAAGUAUCACCAUGUUACAAAGAUUUCUUGCUUGUCAAUCAAGCCUGUGAUUAGUCCCAAGCAAUUUAAGGGUUCCUCAAGGGCUGAAAAAGAAUCUUGUGUUUUUUGUUAUCGUACACAACCAGCAAAUUUCUCUCCCAGUAGCGGCGACUCUGUUUUAAGAUUUGCUAAUGCUAUGCUAGUUUGCUAACUUGUAGCGGAGGUAAUCUCACUAAUGCUAAAACUAGAUAUCCUGAUGUAAAAACUUUAAACACAAAAAAAGUGCUCGUUUUGAAAAAUUAUUUGAGAUUACAACCUUAUUUAUUAGUUUUAAUUAUUACUCAAAAAAGCUAUUACAAUAAUUGAAAUCCUAGUCAAAACUAAAAUAAUAAUAAAAACUAAUUAAUAUGGCAACAGAUAAGACAAAUCCUAAACAAAUUAGAAAUACCAAUUAAAAAGAGGAAAAUUUCGGAUUAGAACAAAAAGAAAGGGCAAUAAUCUUUAUCCGUAUCCGUAGAAAAUAAGGAAAAUUUUUUAUGUAGAUAAUAAAGACUUGCCCACGGUAGUGUCCUAAGAAAGUAAGGAAAACCAAUCUAUAUAAAGAGACUUGCCUGUGCUUGUCGAAAAGCAUUAUACCUUCUUCUUUUAAUUAGCCUGCUAGCUAGCUCCUUAGUAAUCAGUCCCAAAUUUUCAGCUUUCUUAACUUCUUCUCCGUUACCUUAUUCAUCAUCUUCAUUAAAACAAGAAAACAGGAGAAAAAAAAUGCCUGGUGUUUCAAGAAUUGAUAAGGGUAAUGGCAGAGUGUACCCUGGAUACCUUACCCCAUUCGUCGCAAUCACAUGUAUCGUUGCUGCCAUGGGUGGCCUCAUCUUUGGUUACGACAUUGGGAUUUCUGGUAAAUAUAUUUAUACUUACAUACAUAUUAACUAGCUAAUUAAGUACUGUAGUAUUGUGAAUUAUGAGUUAUGCUGACGGUUUAAUCAAAAUAUUAACCUAGCUAACUGCAUAAAUAAUAUAACGCAGGUGGUGUGACCUCAAUGCCUUCGUUUUUGAAGAGUUUUUCCCAUCGGUGUACGAGAAGCAACAAGUAAACUCGUCAGCGAAUCAGUACUGUCAAUAUAACAGCGAGUCGUUGACUUUGUUCACGUCUUCGCUAUACUUGGCUGCUUUGAUAGCAUCGCUUGUAGCAUCAUCGGUGACAAGGAAAUUCGGAAGAAAGUGGUCCAUGUUAUUCGGUGGGGUUCUGUUUCUUGCUGGUACAUUAAUCAAUGGCUUGGCCCAAGACGUUUGGAUGCUUAUUGUUGGCCGUCUUUUGCUCGGUUUCGGUAUCGGCUUCGCUAAUCAGUCUGUGCCACUCUACCUCUCUGAGAUGGCCCUCUAAAUACAGAGGAGCCUUGAACAUUGGGUUUCAAUUGUCAAUCACCGUUGGAAUUUUAGUGGCCAACCUGUUGAAUUUUUUCUUUGCUAAGAUUAAGGGUGGCUGGGGAUGGCGUUUGAGCUUAGGUGGUGCCAUGGUCCCUGCCCUUAUCAUCACCGUCGGUUCAGUUUUCCUCCCGGACACACCAAAUUCAAUGAUUGAACGCGGCCAGCACGAUGAAGCCAGAAAGCAACUUAGAAAAGUUCGCGGUGUUAAUGAUGUUGACGGAGAAUUUAAUGAUCUUGUUGCAGCCAGUGAAGCAUCCAAGCAAGUUGAACAUCCUUGGAGGAAUUUGUUGAGAAGGAAAUAUAGGCCUCACCUUACCAUGGCUGUUCUGAUUCCCUUCUUCCAGUAAUUCACUGGCAUUAAUGUUAUCAUGUUUUACGCUCCUAUUUUGUUCGACACAAUUGGUUUCGGCAAUGAUGCAUCACUCAUGUCCGCUGUGAUCACCGGUCUUGUCAAUGUUUCCGCAACAUUCGUAUCAAUUUGUACUGUCGACAAGUGGGGAAGAAGACGUCUUUUCCUUGAAGGUGGUGCUCAAAUGUUAAUCUGCCAGGCCGUUGUUGCUGCUUGCAUCGGUUAUAAAUUUGGAGUUGAUGGGAAUCCUGGAGAGUUGCCUGUUGAUGCUUAAAUCUGCUCGCCUUUAGACCGACCAGAUUCUUUCACCAACGUUUGUGUUAUCUACUGUUGCUCGUUCACUGGGAUUGGAAUCGUCCUUCUUUCUCACAAUAGACCUGCGCUCACCAAAAACGGAUCAGAGACGCCGGUGGUUUUGCCGGCGUAAACCCUCCGAUGCUUAAGUUAGCUCAAGGUGUUUACGGGAAAACAGUGCAAUUUAGAUCUCAAAAUGGUUUCUAAAUUAUUCGGAGUUUAUAAGAAAAUAGCCUGAUUUCAAUUUGGCAGCGUUUCCCCUCUCUCAAUUUUUCCAUCCCCUUCUUCAUCGAUUUCUUCUUCUUUUAUAGCCGAUGUCCCCACGUUCCCGCUUGCCCUUCAUCCCACCUUUUUUGGGUAGUGGUAGCCUCUCAUGGGGCUCUAACUGCUGCAUUAUGGGCAAACGUGGGAUCUCGCGUCUCCCGCAACGGUUCUGGGAAAGCACAACUACCGUGAUUCUGUGAGAUCGUGUUUCCGCUUUUCGGGGGACGGGUACCGGCUCGGUAUGUGGCUCUGGUCAGUAUUCGUCUCUGAUCGACUCAUGUUACCCCUGUUCUGCUCGUACCAUUUGGCUGAGGUGAUUCAUGCCGGGGUGGAAGUAGUAUCCUGGCCGACCUGGUGCUUUUAUUUGCUUAACACCAGUCCCCCAGUUUCUGGUCUUGUGAGUGAAAUGAGUCAAGAGUAGAAACUGAUAGUCGACUCUUACCAAUCCGGGGGUUUCUCCUCUGGUCUUCUGUCUACCGGGACGAACCUGAGCAAUUCAUUUUUCUUCGGGUGAGAUUUUGAUCUGGGCGUGGGCCUAAAUGAGCAUGUCCACUGCGCACCUGGGCUUGCAUCUAGCCCGGCCUCUUGUAACGGUUGGUGACAUGGCAUCUCCCGAUUCUUCGCAUUUGAAAUUUGAAACGACGGGCUAUCUGUCCUCGAUGUACGGUGAGUGAGCUGGCGUCCCCAUCACUUAAAUGCUUCCAUUUCCCCCCUUUUCGUUUUAAAUCCCUAGACUGGAGUCUUCACCAUCUUGUUACUCGUUUCUCCACCGUUAACCAAAUUUUCUCUGGACUUUGCUCACACUUCCAGCGUCCGGAGUAUCCAUUUGCUGGGUGUUUUCUCUGUCGCGGCGGCUCUAUCAGUGUCAGUCUAUUCCAGGUAUAGCCUUUAACAUUUUCUUCGGCUGUUGUUGAUUGGGUUCUGUGUUGCCCCUUUGUGUCCAUAUACUCGAGUUUUCUCUGUCUUCUUUUGGGAUUCCGGUAUGUCAAAUCGGAAGAGGAAGUUAAUUGUUGAUGAGGGUGAUGACGAAUCAGGGGAUUCAGGCCUCAACGUGCCAAUACCCACCGAUUUUUUAGGUCCCUCCAGUAGUGUAGGUCCUCCUCAUGGUAGGGAUACCCUUGAGUACCCACGCCCCCUGGUUGUCUCUCCCUCUCCCGAAUUAAAGCUUGUAGGAAAUAGGGGUGGACCUGCGUCGGGCUCUGGUGAGAACCACAGCUUUGGUGGGGUUGGGAUCCCUGAAGGAGUUGGUGAUGGUAAGGGGAGCAGUUCCGGACCGAGCAGACCUGCUCAGAAAAGGAACCUAGGCCAUAGGGUGGAGGCUGAUUCCUACCCUAUUGAUUUCAUGGCUUGUGCCACCACCCCCACCGAUCUAUUUAAACUUAGGAAUCUCUACAACAUCCCCAACGAGGUUCUUCUUGUAGUUCCUGGAAAAGGUGAUGUCCCUAGUCGGCCUCCGAAAUGGUAUGUGACGAUGCACUUGGAGAGUUUCAGACUAGGAGCUCGGCUACCCCUUCAACCUUACUUUGCCAAGAUACUGGGCGGUAUGCACCUGGCCCCAGGUCAGCUAUACCCAAAUGGGUGGAGGGUUCUCUCGGCAAUGUUUGUGUUGUGGGAGAGGUGCGGGUCGGAGGAGCCUUCUCUUGUUGAAGUGAAACAUCUGUACCAGCUGCGGAGUAGCCCGAAGGAGGCAGGCUGGUACUAUUUCAUGUCCAGUUCCGCAAAGAGGAAACCGAUCACUGGGUUUCCAUCUUCAUGUAAAAAUUGGAAGAACAAAUUCUUCUUUGCUGGAGGGAACUGGUGUCCAGCGGUUCAGUCGCUUGGUGGGGACAUUUAUCUUCCCACCCAUUUUGUCACUCCAGGUCGUUCAUUUUUGCCUAUAUUCUUUCUCAAAUUGCCACUCAUUGGGUUCUUUAACCUUGUUUGUUUUUUCAGAAUCGUGGGGUUUGGUGAAGGAUCUUGAAGACCGACCUUUGCUUCAGGUGGAAACUGCUCUGUUGAACGCGUCUACUUGCCAAGACCUCCUGUCGCCAACAAACUUGGUCGGUUCCCGCUUAGUAGAUAUUGCCACUGGAAUGGAUAACAAGAUCCUCAGCGCGUUGAGCAGAAAGCGUGGUCGGGCUCCGAGUAGCUCCAGCAACCCUCCUCCUCCUCCAAAGAAACCCAUCGUCGGUCCUUCCAAGGCGCCAGUUCCUGCUCUGCCCCCUCCUCCACCUCGAAAGAGUGGUGGGGAUAAAACCUCCGACAAGAGUCCUGAGGUCAGCUUGCAGUCUGGGGACCGCUCUUCUCCUCUUCCAUCUCGGGAUCAAGGUGACUACCUGAGCCCAUAUCAGAAGGAUUACAGAAAAUCGGUUGGGCCCAAGAUGGUGAAGGACAUCGAGAGCAUGAGCCUCUCCGAGUUAGCUGUUUCUGUUCAAAGAGUCUCCUUCAGGCUGGCCACAAUGGUCUCGUGCUACAAGACCGGGUCCGCGCGUCAUGAGAGGAAGCUCCAAGCUGAUAACCAGGAGUUGAAAAAGAAAGUCGAAUCUGCUGACCGUUCCAAGGAGAAACUGGCCGAGCUGAACAAGCAGCUUACGGAGCUUGAGGAGAAAGUUGCUGUUGCUGAGUCCACUUCCUCCAAGCUUGAGGAUGAGUUGGGUGAUCUGAAGUCCGAUCUUCAGGCUACCCAAAGUGAAAGGGAUACUCUGAGGGUCGCCCUUGAAGGAGAGAUCAAAUCCCUGAAGGACCAGCUGGCUGAGGAGAAAAGCAAAUCAGCUGACGUGGAUGAUCGGCUGGAUGCCGAGUAUGACUCCGGGGUUGCUUUCAGCUAUAAGUGCAUCAUGUCUGUGCUUAAGGAAGAAUAUCACGAGCUCGACAUGAGCAAGCUGGAAUCUGGGGUGGAGAGGUAUAUGGCUGGGGCCGGCUAGGGAGAUAAGGAGCAGGUGGAGGUUCCUUUUGAUGAGGUGCGGGAGGAAGGAGCUGGUCAGUGUGUUUUUGAAGUGGGACAAGGGUACGCGCCUCCUCCUCCCGUUAUUGCUGAUCUUCCACCUCCCGAGAUAGCCGACGCUUCUCCUGCUGAGGCCGUUGACCUUCCUAAUCCUUAGGUCUAUUUUUGUAAAAAACUCUAGAUUGUUAUUCGCUUUGUAAACAUUUGAACAUUUAUAAAUUUUUAAAUGCUCUCAAUUGGCUUUCUUGUCUGGUUUUGCUCACGGGUUGCUUCUGCAAAACAACUUGGCAAUUUAUCUGAUUUUGCCUGUUGGUUUUUUAGUGCAUUGAGCAGGAAUAGGCAUCCGUUUGCCUUAGCGAAAUUUUCGCAAAAUUGCCUGCUGGUCUUCGAUGACCGAGCAGGAGCGGACACUUAUUUGCCUUAGUAGAAUUGUCGUAAAUUUAGCUGCUGUUUUUCGUUGACCGAGCAGAGGUAGGCACUUAGUCGAAUUUUCGUAGCUUUAGCUGCUGGUCUUUCGUUGACCGAGCAGAAGAAGGCACUGAUUUGCCUUUGUAGAAUUUCCGUAGCUUUAGCUGCUGGUCUUUCGUUGACCGAGUAGAAGUAGGCACUUGCCUUAAUCGAAUUUUCGUAGCUUUAGCUGCUGGUCUUUCAUUGACCGAGCAGAAGUAGGCACUGAUUUGCCUUUGUAGAAUUUCCGUAGCUUUAGCUGCUGGUCUUUCGUUGACCGAGCAGAAGUAGGCACUUGCCUUAGUCGAAUUUUCGUAGCUUUAGCUGCUGGUCUUUCGUUGACCGAGCAGAAAUAGGCACUUUGUUGCCUUAGUAGAAUUGUCGAAGCUUUAGCUGCUGGUCUUUCGGUGACCGAGCAGAAACAGGCACUUUAUUGCCUUAGUAGGAUUUUUUGCAGAAUUAGCUGCUGGUCUUUAGUGGACCGAGCAGAAGUUGGCACUUACUUGCCUUAGUAGAAUCUUCGUAGGUUUAGCUGCUGGUCUUUCGUUGACCGAGCAGAAGUAGGCACUUACUUGCCUUAGUAGAAACUUCGUAAAUUUAGCUGCUGGUCUUUCGUUGACCGAGCAGAAGUAGGCACUUGCCUAGGUAAAACUUUUAUUGAUUAGACUAGCAGGGGGAUUUCAUGCUGAAUUCAUCUUUAUUUGAAAUUUGAAAGCAUUACAAGAAUACUGGAUACAUACAUGUGCAGCAAAGCCAUGAUGCAGUUAACAUUGAUAUCUUGUCAAAAUGGAGAUUUAGUAGAGCACUUUGCUUACUGGAAAUACUUCUUCAAGUGUUCGGCGUUCCAUGACCUCUUCACUUCUCGUCCAUCUUGGUGUGCUAAUUUAUAGGCUCCUGGUCCAGUGGCUCGUAUCACCCGGUACGGGCCUUCCCACUUUGGGCCAAGAGCGCCAUGAUUAGGAUCCCUGGUGUUCUGGUUCACCUUCCUAAGUACCCAAUCUCCUGCUCGGAACUGCCUCACGCGCACGUUCUUGUUGUAAUAACGCAUGACCCUUUGUUGGCACUGGGCCACUUUCUGCACUGCCCCUUCCCUUUUCUCCUCCAGCAGGUCCAGACUUAAGCAAAUCUGCUCGUCAUUUUGCUCCUUAGUGAAAUAUUCCGUCCGAUGUGUUCUCACUCCAACCUCUGCUGGGAUUACCGCCUCAUGACCAAAGGCUAAAGCGAACAGUGUUUCUCCUGUGGUGGUUUUGUGAGUUGUCCUGUAGGCCCACAGUACUCCUGGUAGCUCGUCAACCUAAGCUCCCUUCUUCUCUCCCAAUCUAGUCUUUAGGAGCUUCUUUAUCACCUUGUUGGCUGCUUCCACUUGUCCGUUUGCCUGGGGGUGUGCGGGGGUGCAGAACUUCAGGUCCACCCCCAGGUUUCGGCAAAAUUCCCUGAAGUUGCCGUUGUCAAAUUGCCUCCCAUUGUCCGUGAUGAUGGCGUAGGGGAUCCCAUAUUUGCAGAUGAUAUUCUUCCAAAUAAAAUCUGUUGUCUUCCUCUCCGUGAUCUGGCUGAGGACUCCUACUUCCACCCACUUGGUGAAGUAGUCUAUUGCCACAAUUGCAUGUGUCGCCGCUCCUCGUCCCUUAGGCAAUGGACCAAUCAAGUCGAUUCCCCAUUGAGCGAAAGGCCAUGGGGAUGUCAUAGCCGUCAGCUUUUCCGGGGGUUGUGCAGGAACCUCGGAGAAGCUUUGGCAUGUUUUACAAUUCUUUGCCAUCCUUUUGGCAUCCUGGUGCAUGGUUGGCCAGAAGUAUCCUUGCCGGAGUGCCUUGAAGGCUAAAGUUCUUGCUCCCGAGCGAUUGCCGCAUAUUCCCUCGUGAAUCUCUCUCAGCACAUAAUCCGCCUCCUCAUCAUCCAAACAUCUCAAAAGGGGCAAGGUGAACCCUCGGCGGUACAGCACUCCAUCCAGUAGCGUAUACCUUGCUGCUCGGCAUUUUAAUUUUCUUGCUUGCCUUUUGUCCUAUGGUAAAACUCCAUCGCGGACAUAUGCGCGAAUCGGGUCCAUCCAGGAUUCUCCAGUACUUACUCUCAUCACCUCUGCUUCUUCCUCAAUACUUGGUGAGGUCCUUACCUCUAGUGGAACUGACUUCGGUAACUUUGGAUCUGCAAUGGCUGCCAUCCUAGCCAGCAUAUCUGCUCGGAAAUUCUCAUUCCGGGAUAUCUGCUUUACCUCCACUGCUUGGAAAAGCCCAACCAUCUGCUUCGCCUUCUUUAAAUAAAGACCCAUCUUCUCUCCCCUUGCUUGGAACUGAUCAUUGAGCUGAUUACACACCAGUUGGGAAUCUGCUCGAAUUUCUACCCUCUCUGCUCUUAGAGCGUGUGCAAGUCCGAGCCCGGUGAUAAAGGCCUCAUAUUCAGCUUGGUUGUUUGUGAGCUGAAAGUCAAACUUCACUGCAUACGUUAUUUCGGUUCCUUCUAGGCUCUGUAUUACAACUCCUGCUCCGGAUCCUUGCUCACUACAUGAUCCGUCAACCAUUACCAACCACAACCCCUCUGGUUUCUCCUGCUCUGCUGCUUGCUCCUCCCGAAUUUCUUUCCCUGUAUCGGCUCGGUCAACCAUAAAUUCAGCCAGAGCUUGGGCCUUGAUUGCUCCUCGGGGCCUGUAAGAGAGGUCGAAUUCACUUAGCUCUACGGACCAUUUUACUAGUCGACCCGAUGCAUCUGGUUUUUGAAGUGUUUGCCGAAGGGGCUGGUCGGUCAUAACAAUAACCUGAUGGGCCUGAAAAUAUGGUCGAAGUUUUCGUGCUGCCGUUAUUAGAGCUAGCGCCCACUUCUCCANNNNNNNNNNNNNNNNNNNNNNNNNNNNNNNNNNNNNNNNNNNNNNNNNNNNNNNNNNNNNNNNNNNNNNNNNNNNNNNNNNNNNNNNNNNNNNNNNNNNNNNNNNNNNNNNNNNNNNNNNNNNNNNNNNNNNNNNNNNNNNNNNNNNNNNNNNNNNNNNNNNNNNNNNNNNNNNNNNNNNNNNNNNNNNNNNNNNNNNNNNNNNNNNNNNNNNNNNNNNNNNNNNNNNNNNNNNNNNNNNNNNNNNNNNNNNNNNNNNNNNNNNNNNNNNNNNNNNNNNNNNNNNNNNNNNNNNNNNNNNNNNNNNNNNNNNNNNNNNNNNNNNNNNNNNNNNNNNNNNNNNNNNNNNNNNNNNNNNNNNNNNNNNNNNNNNNNNNNNNNNNNNNNNNNNNNNNNNNNNNNNNNNNNNNNNNNNNNNNNNNNNNNNNNNNNNNNNNNNNNNNNNNNNNNNNNNNNNNNNNNNNNNNNNNNNNNNNNNNNNNNNNNNNNNNNNNNNNNNNNNNNNNAGAUGCUUCACAUGAUCCGUCGUCUCUUUGGACUUUGUAAUCAUAUCAUCCACAUAUACCUCCAUAGUGUAUCCAAUCAACGGUUUGAAGAUCUUGUUUACCAACCUUUGAUAGGUGGCUCCUGCAUUUUUUAGGCCGAAAGGCAUUACCCUGUAACAAAACAAACCCAUGUUAGUUAUAAAGGCAGUGCUUUCCUCAUCCUGCUCGUCCAUGGGUAUCUGGUUGUAUCCAGAAAAGGCAUCCAUGAAACUGAGCAGACUGUGACCUGCUGUUGAGUCCACCAGCUGAUCUAUUUUGGGUAGGGGAAAACUGUCCUUUGGGCAUGCCUUAUUGAGGUCCGUGAAGUCCACACACAUUCUCCACUUCCCGUUGGCCUUUUUUACCAGGACUACAUUUGAAAUCCAUUCUGGGUACUUGGCUUCCCUUAUAAAUCCUGCUUUCAACAACUUCUCCACCUCGGCGUUUAUGGCCUCGUACCUUUCCUGGUUGCAGCAUCUCCUCUUCUGUCUCACCGGCCUUGCCCCCUUCUUGAUUGCCAACUUGUGGCAAGCUACCCCGCGAUCAAUUCCGGGCAUAUCUUCAUGAGACCAGGCGAAUAUAUCCGCAUGAGACUGUAGGCAAUUUACCAGCUCGCCUUUUACUGCCCCAAUCAAUCCUGACCCGAUCUUCACUACUCUGCUCGGGUUGCUUUUGCUUAUCGCAACUUCCUCCAGUUUCUCAACAGGCUCUUGGCGGCCCUUUUUAGACUCUCCUCGAUUAUCUAGAGAAGUAACCUGUAGUGUCUCCUUGGCCGCCGUAGCUUAACAACUCCUUGCCACCCUCUGGUCGCCUUUUACUACGCCAACCACCCCAUUUAUUCUGUAUUUCAGCGCCAAGUAAUGCGUGGAUACAACGCAUUGGCUUAUCCUCAUGAAUGGUCUCCCCAGUAUCAUCUGGUAAGGGCUUCUUUCCUCUACCACGACGAAGUCCAGCAUCAUCGUUCUUUCAAACGGCUUUGUCCCCACAAUAAUCGGGAGUUCAAUGAUCCCCAAGGGAGUUAACUGUCCCCCUCCAAAUCCUUUUAAGGAAGUAUUUGUCCGUUCCAGCUUUAAAUCUGAAAUCCCCAUAUCAUCUAGGGCUGACUUAAAUAGAAUGUCAACUGAACUGCCCGUGUCCACCAGUAUUCGCCGCAAUUCUGUGCUAGCCACCGAUGCUUUAAUUACUAGUGCAUCCUCAUGAGGAUAUAAAAUACCCUCUUCAUCCUCAUCUGUCCACAUAAUGGGAACUUGUCGCGCUUUUGCCUUCUUGGUUGCUGGCAAAUUGAAAAGCACUUCUUUGCUAGUCAGGGCGUAUCUCCCAUAGUUCUUCCGUGCCCUGUUCGAAUCUCCGGCCAAUGUUGGUCCUCCUGCUAUCACACGGAUAGUCGGCUGUUCACGUUCCAGAUCCCUCUCAACUCCCUCAUCCCGUGUGUACUGUGAUUCCAUGACAGGGGAUAUUCCAUCUACAUACUCGUCCAAGUAUCGGUUCCUCACUAAAUCCUCCACCUGAAUCUUCAGGUCACGACAUUGGCUGAUAGUGUGACCGUGAGUGUCGUGGAACUUGCAUAAUCGGCUCUUAUCCCGUCGGUGAGUCGGUUUUAUUAUUGGGGCUGGAGGGUACAACAGGCCUCGUCCCUCGAUCCUCUCAUACAAUUCCUCCAUGGAGAUCUUUAGCGGAGUGUAUUGUCUAUAUGCCAAGCUCUGGUCUACCAGCUGAACUGCUCGGCUAUCAUGAACGUCACCUCGGGAUGGCAUAGUCGCUGACUGAUCUGGUCGUCUAGCCCUGGAACUGGUUACGUGUAAUGCUCUGGGAGUGUUAUGAUAGCGGUCGGCAGCCAUCUGCCGGAAUUCUCGCUGCCGAUCCGGGAAUGGGGGACGUGGAGGUUGAGCCCGGUUGUGCUGGAACUGUUGUGAUCUCGGAGUUAUGGGGUAAGGGCGGGAUCGAGCUGAUGUUCCGCCCCUUACUGAGGGUUCCCCAGCUCGCUUUCCCGACCCGCUCCCAUUUGGAGUUCUCAUUUCCUUUCGUCUCAGCUCCUCCAGCUAUUCACUCUUUAUCUUUGCCGAUUUUUCUUCUUCGAUUUCGAUAUCUCUCUUUGCCUGCUCAUAUCCUGCUGAAUAAUUCUGCACCAGGGGGCUUCUCAGGUUAUACCAUAGCCGGCCUAUCCUCACACCCUCCUUUAAACCCCUCAACACCUGCGGGUGAUUGAAAGCUCCCAAAUCAAGUACGGCUCGGUGGUAUCGCUUUACAAAAUCCCGUAGGGACUCGUGCUCCUCCUGUUUCAUCCCCAUCAGUUCCAUCAUGUCGUCCUCUAGGGCUACUGCCCCUCGGAACUGCUCGGCCAACUCCUGGCACAUCUGCUCAUACCCCUUUAUACUUCCUCCGGGCAGCUUGCGGUACCAUUCUCGAGCUCGUCCCUCUAGUGUCAACGGGAACGCCCUGCAUCUCUGAGCUGAUGUCAGCCCCUGCACACCCGUCAUAUCGUUGAAACGCUCAAUGUACACCAGUUGGUCACUUCGCCCGGAGUAUUUGAGGUUGGGGAAGCGGAAAUCUCUUGGGAUUAUGAUACCCAUGAUCUCGAUUGAUAACAGAGAUUCUUCAUCUAACAUUAUCCUCCAGCUCGGGGGCUUUCUCUUGCCUUGUAUCUCCUCUAUCACCUGCGCCAACCUGCGCACCUCCCCCUCCAAUUCUAUAGCACGGCUAGGAUCACGCGCAGCUAUCUGGUCUCGCUUCUGCUCAGCGUUCUGCAACCGCUGUCUGAGCUCUCCUUCAUCAACACUGGCACCUCGGCCAGUAGUUUCCAGUACCCAUCCGGGGCGAGUUUGGUCUCUCCCUUCAUCCCCGUGUUCUCCUGGGACCCGGCCAGUACUUCUGUGGGGAUGCACCCCAUUAGGUUGGUCUGCGGGCGGAGGAAUGUCCUCGACUCUACGUCUCCGGAGGCUGGGUUCUGCUCCGACUUCAUCUCUUCCCACGGGGGUUUCACAAUCCCUUCUCCGCUCAUCCCUCAGCUCAAACAAUAUGGACGUGAGAGUCUCCAUUUGUUUCUCCAUCCGCUCCAGUCUGUCUUGCAUCAUCCUCUCUCGGGCUUCAUUCGCAAUUUCCCGGAGAGUGAUUGUCUCCCCAGCCUCGUUAUCCUCCCCAAAAGCGUCCUUUCUCGUCACAUCCAUGUCCAACCGUUCGCUAUUUCUCCGGUACUUCCUAAUUCGGUGGUAGCUUUUUAUCCAGCUCCCCACAGACGGCGCCAAAAUGUUGAUGCUUAAAUCUGCUCGCCUUUAGACCGACCAGAUUCUUUCACCAACGUUUGUGUUAUCUACUGUUGCUCGUUCACUGGGAUUGGAAUCGUCCUUCUUUCUCACAAUAGACCUGCGCUCACCAAAAACGGAUCAGAGACGCCGGUGGUUUUGCCGGCGUAAACCCUCCGAUGCUUAAGUUAGCUCAAGGUGUUUACGGGAAAACAGUGCAAUUUAGAUCUCAAAAUGGUUUCUAAAUUAUUCGGAGUUUAUAAGAAAAUAGCCUGGUUUCAAUUUGGCAGCGUUUCCCCUCUCUCAAUUUUUCCAUCCCCUUCUUCAUCGAUUUCUUCUUCUUUUAUAGCCGAUGUCCCCACGUUCCCGCUUGCCCUUCAUCCCACCUUUUUCGGGUAGUGGUAGCCUCUCAUGGGGCUCUAACUGCUGCAUUAUGGGCAAACGUGGGAUCUCGCGUCUCCCGCAACGGUUCUGGGAAAGCACAACUACCGUGAUUCUGUGAGAUCGUGUUUCCGCUUUUCGGGGGACGGGUACCGGCUCGGUAUGUGGCUCUGGUCAGUAUUCGUCUCUGAUCGACUCAUGUUACCCCUGUUCUGCUCGUACCAUUUGGCUGAGGUGAUUCAUGCCGGGGUGGAAGUAGUAUCCUGGCCGACCUGGUGCUUUUAUUUGCUUAACAUUGCCCAAGUGGUAUGCCUUUGUGGUCGUAAUUUUCAUUUGCAUAUACGUUGCCGCGUUUGCCUGGUCUUGGGGUCCUCUUGGAUGGUUAGUGCGCAGUGAAAUUUUCCCACUCGAAAUCCGGUCAGCAGCACAAAGCGUGAAUGUUUCUGUGAACAUGGCAUUCACAUUUUUGGUUGCACAAGUAUUCUUAAACAUGCUUUGCCAUCUCAAGUUUGGCCUGUUCAUUUUCUUCGCAUUCUUCGUCGUGCUGAUGACCAUUUUUAUCCACUUCUUCUUGCCCGAGACUAAAGGAAUUCCAAUCGAAGAAAUGGGUCAAGUGUGGAAGAAUCAUUGGUUCUGGUCCCGUUAUGUUGGCCAAGAUGAUUUCCUCGCCAAUGGAGGCCUAGAGAUGCACAAAGAAGAAACUGAUGUCAACAAUGUCUGAUCUGCAUGCUCAACUCCAUCCGGAUUUUUGUUUAGUUUCUAUUUUUAUUUUUUAUAUUUUUUAACAGUAAGUAGUAGUAGUACAGUUAUUCUGUCGGUUUAUUAUUCUAGCCUUAUCAAUGCCUUUUCUAUUCGACUUUAGUAGUGUUUAUUACAAUUUCUAAAGAAAUUAAUUUCAUGUAAGUUUUUACUUUAAUCAUUUUCCUUGUUUGGGUUCUCUGUUUUUCCUUUUUUUUUUUUUUUUUCAUCAGAAAUCGUCACUCUUACAAUUUGGACCAAGAAAUUCUUCACACAGGAAUCUGAAGAAAAAUUAACAAGGAUUGAAAAUUUUGACUUAUUGUUUAUCUUUUUUUUUUCUUUUCUCUUUUCCGUCUUCUCUUCUCAUUAAACAGACAUUAAGGCAAAAUUAAUAAAUUAUUUUAUUAUUGGUCUUAUCGUGAGUAGAAAAUCAUUGGUGCAAAUUCAAUUAUUUAGAUCAACAGAAAUUUUGGGAUAUGAAUCAAUGAGAAAAUUUUAAGUAUUCCUAAAAUAUUAUUCCUAUUUUAUCGUGAGUAGAAUAUGACCACCUUAUAUUAACUCAAGCUUUUUAUUUAAAAUUUUAACAUAAAUUCUCAUCUAUAAACUUUGUGGCAAAAUCUUAAGUUGAAAUAGGGAGAAAAAAAUCUAAAGAAUGUAUAAAAUUUGUAGAAAGAAAAGCCGCACGUGAGAUAUGUCAAAAUCAAAAUUCAUCAAUACAUCAAAUUUCAUAUACAUGGCAACUUAAACUCGCACAGUUCAAUGUCAAAAUUUAACUUUUAUCAAAAAGUAACGUUGCAUCCUCAUUUUACCUUUAACUCUAAGAGGUGUUGCAAUGGCCAAAGUAGCCAGUCAAUCUUUCUUUUGACGUUAUUUAAUCAUUCUGUACAGCAGAACACCCAUCAACUACUCUCAUCCUGGCCAUAGCUGCCUGCAUUGAGGAGUUGCUAAAGUUUAACAAUGAAAAAUAAAGCAACGAAAAAAUAAAUUUAACUUGAAUUAAUCAAGAACCUGUUUUUUCCAGUUUGUGAAAGUUGUAGCAAGAGAAAGAAGGGUGGACUGCACAACAGAGCCAGCCACUAUUCCGAUCCAAAGUCCCUUUCCUCUUAAAUGUGCUACAAAACCCAACACGGCACCCACUGGCAACCCAACUAAAUAAAAUGCCCCAAGGUUUAUGUACACCCUAUAUGCUGCCAUCCACACCCUUUCGCAACCCCUAUUGCAAACGUAGAAUCCACCUUUAUUAAGAAAUGAAAAUUUGAACCGCAUUUGAAUCCCAGAUGUUUUGUGGUUUGUGUAUUCAAGAGAUAAUUACCAACUGAUCUAGUCAACACCAACCUCUUGGAUGUAUACUUUAUAUGUGUGUGUCUAUAUAUAUAUAUAUAUAUAUAUAUAUAUAUAGCAUGUAUCUAUUUAACUAUUACGACAUUUACCAAAUGAUAUAUAAGUCAACAGUGACUCUUCAGUCUCCCAUAUUAUUAUCCAACAAAGACUUUAAUUGAAAGAAGUGUAAUUAGAAAGCAACUACUAACCAGAAAAAACAGCUUGUAAGCUGUCUGUAAUAACUGAGAGACAAAUCAGAGGAGCCAUAACAACAACAUAAUGCACAACUUGGUUGUCUUUGGUGUAAGCGUAACCCAAAAAAUAGCGGCAGCAGAAGAGGAUCGUGCCGACUAUCACUGCCUCUACCACAGCAUAACUUGUUGCAGCCCAUACAGCCACUCUAGCUGCUUGCAGAUUCCCAGCUCCAAGCUCAUUUGAAACUCGAGUACUAUACAUGACAUAUAUAUUAACAUGCACAUAGUCAAAUGCUAGCCUGCUCCAUUUGUAUUAUUUUAAAAAAAAUGCAAAUCACAGGGAGCAACCAAAAGCAAGAAAAAAAAAAGACCUUGCAGCUACUCCAAAAGCAUAUGGUAUUGUGAAGUGCAAUGUUGAAAUUGUAAGGCUGAUCAUAAAACAACAACGAUUAGAAGCAUAUACAGUUUAAUUCUAGGACAAUUUAUAAGUCAAAAUUAAAUAGUUAUAACUAAAAUAGGAGCUAAUUACCAAAUUGAAAGUACUGAAGUCUCCAGCUUGGGAUUCGGUAAAAGGCCGGAUAACAAAAUUAAGAUCUCCAUCGACCACCAUUUUAGACUAAUUAAUCACCAUAAUCGAUCACAAUAAGAGAGAGACUUUUGAGAUUAAAAGAGAAGAAACAACACAAAAAGCAAAAUUACCAUUCUAAGAGAUAAGAGGAAUAAUUACCAAACCAUUAUGGCAGAAGGUAUAGCCAAGCGAAAGAACUGUCCAAUGGCUAGUAAAGAUUCUUUAGAAACCGGCGCGCGAGUUUUCUCACAAGCUGAGGAGUACAUCAUGUACAAUCCGAGCAGUAUCACAUUCAACCAAGUUGAUAGACUGAAGGCUAGAGCUGCACCCAUGCUUCCUAAUUCUAGUUUGAACACAAGAGUCCAGCACGCAGGUAUAUGAAAACAUAGAAUUAGAAAAGAACUUGCAAACAUGGGAAGAAUCAAGCUCUGAGUCUGAAAGUAUCGGGUUAGUGGUUUCAGGAUUGCACUCCCGAAUAAUGCAGGGAUUAGCCACAUUGAAUACUUGCGUGCUUCGUGGGAGAUUACAGGAUCUUGGCCUAUUAGAGGUAACAAUUUGUCCAUAAAAAUCCACAACAGGCAAACUAGAGGGCAAACAAGAAUCAACGAAAUUAUGGCAGUGUAAGUAUGAACUCCAAGCUUCCGAAAUUGUGCUGCUCCAUAAGCUUGCCCACAUAGAGUUUCCAAUCCACCAGCCAUUCCUGACUGCUUGGCAAGUCCAAAUUAAAUUCAAUCAUUAAUCAUCAAAAUUAUCUCUAGGAUUAAUUAAACCUGAAGAUGAAGGUAAUGUGAGUAGAGAGCAGCAAACUUACUAGAAGACUAAAGCCGGUAACAUUUGUGAGAGAGGUGGCAAUGGCUACACUAGACAGGGCAAGCUGGCUUAGAUGUCCCACCAUUACCGUUGACACAACUUGCAGAAGGUACUGCAACACAGAGACUGCCACCAUUGGUGCCGCGAUACGGCCAGUCUUCUUCAGCUCUUCCAUAAAUCCACCCCAUGUAAUUGCCCAUCUCUUCUCCUGGCUCUCUCCAACUUCCAUAUCCAUGCAAAAUUGAUAAAUGAUAAUAAUGAUGGUAUCUUAGUUUGCUUUGCCACUAUUAAUAAAAAGAGCCAAUCCAAAGAAACACGAAGUUUGUAUGCUGUCCUCUGUUUUGGCUUUACUUGAGAAUUCAAUAUUAACGAUUUUAUGUUUUGACUGUUCAAAAGAGCAUGCCGAGAGGUUCAAAUUAGUGGACUCUAAUUCCCAACUUUCUGUUGUUUAUAAUCAUUAUUAUACAUUCCCCACGAGCACGGCACAGACAUGAGUAAUGCGGCAAGGGUGCGUUUCGCACACUGCAUUGUAUUAUGUUGUAUUGCAUUAUUUUAAUAUUGGUGUAUUAUAUUAUGCUGUAUUGUAUUAGCAUUGUAUUAUAAUAAUGUUAUAUAAUGUUUGGUGUUAUACUGUACUGUAUUAUUUUUUUAAUUAAUUUAAAUUAAAUAUUAUAUUAUAUUAAUGUUUUAUAUUAUAUUAAUAUAUUUAAAUUGCAUUAAUAUUUUAUGUUAUUAUUUAUAUUAUUAUUAAUUUUAAAUUAAUAUUAUUCAAAUUUAUUCAUAUUUAAAUAUUUUUAUUAGUUAUAAUAAGUUAUAAAUUUAUUAAUAAAUUAUAAUGUAAAAAUAAAAAAUAUACUAUUAUUGAAUGAUAAAUUAUUAAUUUAUUAAUUAUAUUAAUAAUUAUAAUGUAAAAAUAAAUAAAAUAAAAAUAUUAUAUUAAAUUAAAAACCAUAUUUAUUUAUUAUUUUAAUAUUAUAAUAAUAAUAAAGUGAAAAGCAAAAUAAAAUUAAAAAAAAAAAAACAAAGCUAAUGCGUCAGUUGACGCAUUAGCCUCCCACCCCAAUCCCUUGCAAUUUUAUUCCAAACAUAGGUUUGGUAUUAUGUUAAUGUAAACAGUAUUAUAAUAUCCCCUUAAUACUAUAAUCAAACACACCCUAAGAUAAUUGCUGGUGUUUAAUCGGUCAGAUUUUUCAUCUUUUCUCGAUCUUUUGAAAAAUCAUAAUAAUGAUUAUAAUAGAUCCCCAGACACGUAGAUGGGAUUGAGAUUUUGUCUGAUAUGGCUUGAUUUGAAGUAUUUUUUUAUAUCUGCAAUUCUGCAUAUAGUAAGUACAAUCAUAUCUUCUGAGUGAUAGACUUCAUUUUUGGCCGUUCUGAACAAAAACUAUGUUCAAUGACAGUACUGAACUCUAAAUUUCAGUGGAAUAUAAUAAAGGAGAGGAAUAAAAAAGCAUAUUGCAAAUUGGAUGUACUCUCUCACAUCUGAAUCAUUUAAUAAUUGCUUUUGGAAGCACAUUUUUGACUAGUUACUACAUAAUAUCAGCUUAGAAGAAACAGAUGCGAUUCCCCUAGUGGCUUUCAAAUUGCAAUCAGUUGUACGCGAGCGAUUCCUUAACAGAUGAGAAGAAAGAAAAAUGGCAAAAAAGGAAAAAAAACAAUUCUGAUGUUUUCAGGAGUCAGUAGAUGCUGUUGAAAUACAUAUUUUUCACUGUCCUCCCCUUAACUAUGUUAGACUUUAUGUCUAAAUUCGCACUUGUCUCCCAAGAUUUUGAUGGACUGUUAACAUGGAUGACUAAAUGAAUAAAAAUACAUAGACGCCCCUGAUUUGAAGCAAAAUCACCAUGCCAGGAAACAAAACAGCUCGUGUAUAAAGAGAUGACAGUGUUAAUUUCGACAAAAAGAAACUGUGGGUUGGACAAAAUCCAUGAGAGGAUAGUGAAAAAUAUAUAUUUUGAUAUAAUGUAUAUAGUAUAUCAUUUCAAAACUCAAAAGUCGUUUCGUUCUUUAAAAAAAUUCCACUGCUUUAAAAUUAAAAAUCACAUUUAUAAUUAAUUUUUUUAUCAAGUUCUAAAUCCUUUUAUUUUGUCAACAUCCUAAAAUUAUAAUAAGAAUUAACUAUGCUUUGAUUGAUAAAACUAAUGGGGAUUUCGUUCUUAUUUGAUAAAAUCAAUAGUCAUUUCGUUCUUAUUUAAUGUGUUUCCAACUUGUGAGCAAUGGGAGGUAGAAAGCAAACUUGUCCACUUUCAAUUCCCAAACUCAUAAGAAUCAGACCUUUUUUUUUUCAAAUGAUCAAAUAAAUACAAUUGGCUACUUUGACAGACAGGAACAAUACAAGUGUCUUAACAUGUCGAUCAAAUGGCCAAAAGUAAGACGCAAUCCCUAAGUCUAACUUACAAUUGCUAAAAAUAACGUAAAAAUGGACCAGUAUCAUCAUUUUACCUCGUCUUUAAUGGUUGUCAGUUACACUAAAUAUAUUUUAAGGAGACAAUAAUAAUAAUAAUAAUAAUAAUAACAAUUUGAGUAGAAAUUAUCACGAACAUAUUCCUGCAUAUCUUAACAUCUUCAAAGAUAUGUGACUUAUUGAUGUGACGCUCCAUUUUAUCAAACAGUUGCAUCAGAAAAUUCUGAAGGGACUACAAAUGCCUUUUGAUGCAUAGAAGAUUUACAUUACUGACAAACCAAGGACAAAGCAGAAAGAAGCAAGUUUCGAUUUGUUUCUCAGCCAAAAAUCAAGUUCUUCCAUUAUCUUCUGUCUACUUCUUCCCCUAUUAACUCCAAUUUUUGCUCAGACCCUUGGUUUUGGAAUUGGGCAAGUAAUUGGAGGAGUCAAAGAGAAAGAAAGUAAACAAAAUAUAAAUAUAUAUAUCAGCAACUCCCUAGAUCUAAUCUGCUUCUGGCUCAGUUAGGUGAUCAGUCAUUAAGAUCUAUUGCCUCUCCACCUUCUUACUAGUACUCCCAGCCCUUUAGAGCAAAUUAUUAAACCAACCCUCGGAAAGUUCAGACACAUCCUUUGUAUUCCAACUGUGCAAGUGUAAUGUUAACCUAAGGUUCUCUUUCUUUUCAUUUGUAUGCUUGAAGAAAAAUCAACAAGAAAAUGCAAUACCAGCAGGUAUUAUUUGUAAUUCAUAUGGAAAUUAUCAUUAACAUAUGCCUACAUAUCGAAAUCUUCAAAAGGUUGUCAGAGUUUAUCCGCAGCAAUCCAAUCUAUUUUAUCAAAGACAGAAAAACUUAUGUUCAAGCAGAACAAUCAAAAGGGAAAGUAAAUGCCCGAAUUUUGAGCUAGCACCAAUAAAUUGAAGAUGUACAUUAUUGACAAGCCUAGAACAAUAUCAGCUUGAAAAGAAGCAGAUAAAAGCACAUAUUUAGACAAGAGAAACUUACAAACUACCUCAGUUUUUGUGCUGCAGUUGGGACACCAGAUGAACUCAAGUUGGCCCUUUCUGAAUCGUUUGCUGCACGAAAGCCAGCUGUAAUAAAUGUUACUAUUGAUCCCUAUGCCAGUACAAACUACCUCAGUUUUUGUGCUGCAUCCUACCACUUUCUGCACCGGCAUAGGGUUCAAUAAUAACAUUUAUUAAAGCUGGCUUUCGUGCAGCAAACGAUUCAGAAAGGGCCGACUUGAGUUCAUCUGGUGUCCCAACUAAAUAUCCUUUUCCCCCAAAAGCUUCCAUGAGCUUAUGAUAAGCUGCACCAGGUACAAAAGAAGUAGGUGCAGGAUCAUCUUUGAAAGGCCCUGCAAUUUCUUCAGGGUUUCUGCGAUCUCCACCAUACACACCACCAUUAUUAAAAACUAUCACGACAACAGGCAACUGAUAUCGAACCAAUGUCUGCAAAAUCAGAAGAAACAGAGACCACAUUAGUCUCUUUUUCCUCUCCCACCUUUUUCCAUUUAUUGGAUGAGGAUAUGCUAUACGUAUGAAUCAACUUUGGACUUAGACAAAGUAAAAUUCAUUUAUUCCAUUAAUUGAUUAACAUUGACACACUAUCUUCUAAAAAUUCAUUUAUUCCAUUAAUCAAUCUUCUAACUACACAGAUAUGCAAACAUCCAAGUGCGAGCACAUCACAAGCACAAAUUCUCAUUUUUCAUUCAGAAGGAAAGUGAAAAAGAGGGGGGGAAAAUGGAAGGUAUCUACAAUAAAAAACCCUCAUCUAAGUCACACAUCAAUGAAGAAUGCAAUAGAAGAAAUCUUUCCACUAAAUACAGAAAGAUGCACCAAGAACUACCCUUCUGAAAGCAAGGCAGCAAUUACGCAAGUUCGGAUUAGCUAAAACUAAAUCCGACAGUGGCCAUAUAGCAUUUGAUAAUUACAAGACUACUCGUUCACUAGAAUAGAACCAGCAUCAAAAGAAACUCAAAUAUCCAAAUCGUAAGAAAAUUAAGGAUAUAUUGAGAAAAGGAAGACACAGGGGAUAAAAGCCAUUUAGGAACCGUACCAUCAACUAUCGAUCCCUGAGAAAAAAGGAAAUGAGCUAGGAAACUAGAUAAAGUAAAACCUAAACAGUAUGUCCUAAAAUCAAGAAGCCAGACUGCCUGUAAUGAGCAAGCGAAGUUUUCCAAAUUUGUGACCAUCAUCCCAGUAAAUAAUGAAAUGCUUUAGAACGCAUGAUAAAGUUGAUGCUGGCACUCAAAGCUUUAAACAAGCAAGAUUUGACUUCCCAAACUAAGGUAGUCAGUCUCUCCCAUCAAAUAGAGAAGGAUCCAGUACAAGCUGAUGAUCAAAACUUAGAUUUGCCUAUAUCCACUUGAAACUGCAUCAGCCUUCAAAUUCUUCAAAAGUUAUUACCAUAGGAAGACAACUCACAAAUGUCCUAAAUCUUUAAAAUCUAAUAUUAGACCAUUGGAGAUGUGCCGCAGAUUUCAAUAUUAAAGCGAAAGUAGAAUAAAAUGGAACGCUAAAGAGAAUCUUAAAAUAACAAAAUAAUCAUAAAUGACUAGCAAUUUGCAUCAUGUUUGUUGAUGAAUUAAGGAAGUCAAGCAUGGUGUACAAGUUUAUUCUUGUGAAUAAAAUGUAUGCAUAAAUAUCGUUAUAUGCUAGAGAUCAUAAUUAUGCAAGAGAGCCAUACCUCAACCUCAACCGCACUGAACCCAAAUCCAGAGUCUCCUUCAACAGCAACCACAAGCCGUUCAGGGCAAGCUAUUGCAGCAGCAAUGCAAUACCCUAAACCAACCCCCAUGGUCCCCCAAGUCCCUGCAUCCAGCCUACAACGAGGCUCAGUUUGAACCAAUACUGCCCUACCCACAUCCAUAGUAUUUGCCCCUUCAGAUACCAAUAUAGGAGCGGGGCUCCCGACUCCUAAGAUCGCAUCUCUUAUAAUCCUCAUUGGCGUCAUGAAAUUAAACGGCACAACAUCCUUCACCAACUGAACCUCCAUUUUCAACACAUUGUCAUUCGUUUUCUUCCAAAUAGCCUCAACCCAAGGAUGAUUUUUCCCCAAACAAAAAGGUUCAUCUUUAAUCUCCUUAUUAAUCAUUUCCAACACUUUUUUAGCAUCUCCAACCAAACCCAAGUGUGGUUUCCUUAACUCAAUCUCUUCCUUGCAAACAUCAACCAAAACAAACUUCACAUCCUUCGACCACUUCGGUGGCUCACCAAAAUGCAACAACCAAUUAAGCCUCGCACCAACAACAAGCGCAACAUCACAUUGACCUAUGGCUAAUGACCUCGCAGCGGUAGCAGCAAGCGGAUGGGUAUCAGGCAACAGACCUUUACCCAUUGGAGUAGGCAAAAAUGGAAUCCCAGUGCUUUCAACUAAUUUCUUCAAUUCACCCUCAGCUCGCGCAUAAGCUGCGCCUUUCCCAAACACAAUCAACGGCUUCUUUGCUUCUUUAAGCAAAGACACCGCUUUAUCGAUAUCAGAAUUCACAAUCCCCCCUUGCGUCACCGUUUCUUUGGCACUCUCCGCUUCCUUCAGAAGCUUCUCCGCUUCAGAUACCGAUAUCGUUUGAUGUAAAACAUCAGUGGGUAGAUCCAAAUAACACCCGCCGGGCCGCCCCGAAACAGCUCGUUCAAGAACCUGAGCGACACACUUGGGAACUUCCGUAAUGUCCUUCGCUUUUACAGCAAAUUUCGAAAAAGGCUUGACGGCUUCCACUUGGUCGAGUUCUUGAAAAUCGCCGCGGCCAAAAUCUUUCUGAUCGCAGGAGCCGGAUAUCAUGACGAUUGGCCACGUGUUAAUCAUCCCAUUCGAGAGACCAGCCAGACCGUGCACGUAACCCGGACCGGAAACAGUUAACAGAAUGCCGGAUUUUCCAGUCAGGUAUCCGUAGGCGGAGGCGGCGUAGCCAGCGGACUGCUCAUUGUGGAAGGCGAUGAACCGGACGCCGAGCUGGACGGCCCGGUUCGCUAAGGAAGUAACGGGAAUGCCCACCACGCCGAACAUGUGGGUGGCACCGAAUAGUGACAAGGAUUUGGCCGCCAGGGUGUUGCCGUCGAUCUGGGCAUUUUGGGAAUUUUGCAACUCCGAACCCGCCAUUGCUUGCUAGAUGUGUGUGUUUGUGCUAAUGCCCGAGUGAGAAGUGGACGGGGCAAGGGUAAACAAUUUUUUUUUUUUUUUUUUACCACGAGUUAUUUUGGGGUGGAUUAACAGUGGGAGAUACUUCAAGUUCCUAUCAUAAUUUAGAGAGAGACACUUUUAAGUUCGUACCAUAAUUUAAAUUAAAAGUUUAAGUUCUCUUAAUAAAAAUAACUUUUCUAUAACUUAAAUUAAGGAAUAAAUUCAGUCAAACCACUUAAGAAAAAUUCAUUGUCAAUGGAACAACACUUUAUUGGUAACAAAUUCAGCUUUAGGUUGUUGAUAUAUACAUAGGUAAUGGACGAAAUGUCUAUCAUGCCCUUUCCGGCGAUGGUAGCUGGGACAGGUGCCAAUUUUUUUGCAAAUGCGACCAAAAUGGAUAGCUUCACCCAUAAAACGACAUAACUGGUAGUAGGUAUAGCGACAAUGCUUUCCCGAUUAUCAUUAUAUUUUUCUCUGUAGUUAUAAAUAAAGGUGACAAUUUGUUUCCAAAAGUAUCGUUAUUAAUCCUCAUCCGUUGAAUUAUAACACGUAAUUAUUACUUAGGGAUGAUAUUGCUUAAUCGGAAAGAAGGAUGUAAUAACUUUAAAAAAAAAAAUACAUAUGACAUAUAAGAGCAUCAUUAGAAAAUUCUUUUAAUUUAAUUUUUUAAAUACUUAUUUAUUUAUAUAUGUUAUAAAUAGAAGAGAGAAAAUAUCAUUUCUCAUAAGACUUUUCAAAUAAAAAUAAAUUUAUACUAUUUUACUCAAAUUUUUUCUUUCAUUAAAAUAAUAACAAUUAUAACUAUUCCAUCUCUUUAAAAGUAAUGAAAUAAAAAAUAAUAUAGUACGAAAUUAAGUGUUCUAAAAGACUCUCUAAAUAAAUUUUUUUAAAUUUCAAUAUGGACAAUUUUAUUUAAAAAUUAUUUAAAAACUCUUUUUAUUAACAUAACUCUUUAAAUAAAUAGUAAAUUUUCAUUAAAUUUUUUUUUUAAAAAUGUCUAUAACGAGAAAAAAAAUAUUAAUAGCAAGGGUUUGGCUAUGUUGGAGUUCACCUACGGUGGAGAACGAAUCUCAGCCACAUACACAAAAUGAUAAAGAAUAAAUAAUGAGUUAUAAUGAGUUUUUUAAUAUUUAUUACUUUGCGUGUGUGGUUGAGAUUCGUGUUCCACAGUAAGUGAACUCUAACAUAAUCAUAGCCUAACAACAAUUACCAAAUCAAAUCUUUGAGCACAUGAUUUUAUAUGGGCUUCUACAAAUUGUGGACAUCCAUAAAUAAAUUAGAGUUCAUAACCGAUUCUUGCUCUGACAUAUUCUGUUUAAUUUUUAAUUUAGAAUUUCUCAGUUACAAUUUACAACUCUUAUAUUCCUAUACAUGAAUUGCAAUGCCUUGGAUGCUUGUGUUGAAAUAUGAUGCAACCGAAGCAUGUGUGACGUUGUAUGACAUGUCAUGUAUAACGAAAAAAAAUGUACGACUUGUCAUCCUUAAACUAAAAGACACGUAUGACAAAAAAAAAAUGGUUAUCUCCAAUUUAUAUUUCCGAUUACAAUAGUCAUUGAUUCAGUGCUCAGCAAAGUUAAAUCCUAGUUCUAAUAAUAUACUCAGGGUUUUAUUUAUUUAUUUUGUAUUUUUAGAAAAAAAUAUUUGACUAACAAUCAUCAAGAUUGACUAACAUAUAUUACUUGACAACAAAUAAAGAAACUACUGCUCAAGAGACACUUUCAACAACGCAUAGACGUGAGGUAAAUAACAAGAGUGAAUAGACACUUAGGUAGUGUUUACUUGUUGUAGUAGGAGUAAGGAGUCUGGAUUCCUCCUACUCCAGUGUUUACUUACUAAUUUUAAAGGAGGAGUGAGAAUCCUACUCCUUGGGACCCACUUUUUUUUGGAGUGGGGAGUGGGAAUCCACUCCCCUCUCUUCCAUUUUUAUCCUAAUAUUUAAUUAAAUAAAAUAAAUAAUAUUUAAUUAAAUAAAAUAUUAUUAUUAUUUUAUUUUAUAAAUUAUACUUAUUAAAAAUAAUAAUUUAUAUUGAUUCUAAGUUAAAAUUACUUAAAAAUAAUAUUAUUAUACUCACAGAGAAUUAAUAAUAUUACUAUAUACUCUUUUUAUUUGAAAAUAUAAUAUUAUUAUAUUUAUUUAAAAAUAAUAGUAUUAUAUUUAUUUAAUAUUAGUAAUUAAUAAUAAUCAAUAUUUUAUUCUAAGAAAAUAUUAAUUUUGUAUUAUAUUAUUAAUAAUAAUGUUUCAUUUGUGUUGCUCUUAAUAAUAAUUUUUUAUUUACAUAAUUAAAAUUAAAUUUAAUAAAAAAAUAUUUACAUAAUUAAGAAUAUUAUUAAUUAUUAUUAAUUUAAAAAUAUAAUAAAAUAAAUAUUUUAUUUUUCAAAUCUAUUUUUUUAUUAAUUUUGUAAUUAAAAACUAUAAUUCUUUAAAUAAGGAUAAAACUGUAAUUUAAAAUCAUUUACUCUCAAUUCUAUGCUCUCAUUCCAGUGUAAGUAAACAACUUAUUCCCACUCCCACUCCAUACUCUACACUCCUAAUCCCAAAAUUCUCACUGCUCAUGAUUCCCACUCCAAUCUAAAAUGUAAACGCACCAUAAUUAAUUGAUUGAUAAUCGAAGUUCGAAGCCUCAGUGUGCUAACAAGCAGUAAAGUCAACAACACUAAGCUAUAAAUGGCAAACGUUAAUGCUCAUGAUGACAUCCAAAUCAAGUUCAGAAUCGUUGAACAUUUGAAAACAAUCACAACAGGAAGCUAUAAAUGGCAAAAGUAUGGAGGUGCCACUAUUGCCUGAGAGGGAAGAAGAGAGGAAAUGGGUGGUGGUGGUGCUACCACGGCUAUCCUUUUUGGAAGAGCUGAAGACGUUGAGCUUCUUAUCAGCGCCGCCGGCAGGGGUGGCCUGUUUUCGGUUCUUUUUGCUGGCUACAGCAACGAUGAUGGUGGGACACCUUGGAAAACUUUCACUUGAUAGUAUUGCCAUUGCUAACUCCUUAAUUAAUGUCAUCGGCUCCAUUCCACUUGUAAUAUUUUCUUCAUUCCCUUUUCUUUUUACCAUUAGAAAACUGCUUUACUUCUUCUUCUUCUUUGUUUCACAUCAAAGCAUGCUUCGUUUAUUUAAUCUAAUGACACUGCUUUGUAUGCCUUUUGUUUUGUAGCAAGUUAACAAUUUGCUUGUGCUCGCUAGAAAAUUGUUUAAAUGACUCAAUAUAAUCCACACAGCAAUAAUAUAACAAUAGCUAUUUUUAAAUCCAGAUCAACGACAAGCAACCACAACUAUAUGGUUAAACAAGUUAAAUCAAGCUCGUUUAGCUAUAAUAAGCAAUCAACUUUAGAACUUUAGCUUGACUUUCAUAGGUGAGAAUACCAAGCAGGUCUAUUUUGACUAGGCUAAGAUCAACAAAUUAAUAAACUUUGAUUAAUUAUUGGCGAAGAAUUAAUCAAUAUUACUUGGAAGAUAUUAAGAAACUUUGUUCACCUUUUCUGUCACUGGUCCAAAUAAUUUAUGAAGUACUUUUUUGAGCCUUUUUUUUUUGGAAAGGUAGUACUUUUUGAGCUUGAACAAGCAUUAUUAUAACUGAUCUUAGUUUACUCCAUAUUUUCCAUGCUACCGCUGUUUACAUAAAACGGAUUUUGGGAGAAUAGCAUAUAUUUCAUCAAUAAUCAAUUGAGACAUAUAAGAUUAGCCAACAAAAUGAUAUCUAAUGUGGACAAUGCCAUUAAAUUUUGAGCAGUUUGGUUUUGCCUCUGCAUUAGAGACUCUAUGUGGACAAGCUUAUGGAGCAGAGCAAUAUCAAAAGAUUGGAACCUAUACUUACCCUGCUAUGUUCUUUUGCAUUGCAAUUUGUAUCCCCAUCUCUGUUCUUUGGAUAUUCAUGGACAAAGUACUAAACUGCUAGGCCAAGACCCUGAUUUUUUUGUCGAAGCCUGCAAUUACGCAAUUUGGCUCAUACUGACAUUAUUUGGCUAUGCUAUUCUUCGAUCACUAUCUCACAAUCUCCAGGCUCAGAGCUUGAUUCUGGCAUUGUUCUUAAGCUCAUGUGCAACUCUUUGUUUGCAAAUUCUUCUUUGUUGGGGUCUAGUAUCUAAAACAGACUUUGGAAAUACAGGAGCAGAAUUAACCAUAGGUAUUUCUUAUUGGUUCAAUGUGAUCAUCCUUGCACUUUACAUGGGAUAGAACUCACACGGUGAUCACCAAGGAAAUUUUCCCUAGCACGAAGGAGUUCUCCUUCUUUGCACACCUUUCAGUUGUAAUGUUUUGGUAAUUUGCCUAUCGUACUUUGCAAUGUUUUUGUUAGUUUUCUGUUCUUAUAAAUUGACUUACAGUGUGCCUUUUGUUUCCAAUAACUAAAGUCUCGAAUGGUGGUCAUAUGAGAUUCUGGUACUGCUGUCUUGAAUAUUACCAAAUCCAAAACUUGAAACAUCAGUUCUUACAAUAUGGUACGUAUCUACACUUACGGUUUUGACUUUUGAGUAAACGGGGAAAAUUCUCAGUAGGGUUGAAUUGAUUUCCUUUGCUCUUCAUAUGCAGCGUUACAAUCCAGUCAACACACCAUUUUAUGCCAUUUGGUAUUAGUGCUGCCGCAAUGUUUGAUCUAUAUGUUGUUUCAAAAGCAUGCACUUACGAGUAAAUGAAAUAAUUCAUUACCUACUAGUUAAAAAAACCCUGAUUAAUUCUGUGUACUGAGCUGUAUCGCAAUCCACCGUUGUGCAGCACUCGAGUGGCAAAUGAAUUAGGAGCUGGAAAUCCAGAACCAGCUCGAUUGUCUACAUGUGUCGUGAUAUUUCUUGCAGUUGCAGAGGCAGCCAUAGGAAGCGUAGCUCUAUUCUGCUGCCGCAAUGUUUUGGCAUAUUUGUUCAACACUGACAAGGACGUUGUGAAUUAUGUGUCUGAAUUAGUUCCUCUGCUUAGCACUGCCAUUUUCAUGGACAGCAUGCAAUCAGUACUUUCCGGUCAGAAUCCCAUCAUUCUGUCAGGACUUUUAUUUUCACUCUUUUCACUCAGCUAGUGCUUCAGAGCUUGAAAAAGAUUUGAUGAUUUAUUUCUCACCAUUCACUUUCCUUAUCACAAGUAGCUAGAGUAAUUGGGUGACAGCACAUAGGAGCUUACGUAAAUCUUGGUGCAUUUUAUCUUGUUGGAAUUCCGGUAGCAUCUGUGCUAUGUUUUGUUCUUCAUCUUAGAACAAAAGGCCUUUUGCUCGGAUUAAUCAUUAAUGCCAGGCUCAACUGUCGCAAUUGCGCUCGCCAUCGUUACUUCUUUAACAAUUUGGGAAAAACAGGUUUCUAUUUCAUUUCACACUUUUUUCAAAUUAUCUGCUUCUUCAGCAGUGAGUUAUCCUUUAAUUUUGCUGGCUGACAUUGAUCUUUCAUGUGGAUAUCUUUCCAGGCUACCUUGGCCAGAGAGAGAAUAAUUAAGGGAGCAUCUUCAACUGAUAAUAGAUCGGUUCGAUGCAAAACGUAAUUAAACAUUUUGUUUCCAUCGUAUCAAAAUUUCUUAGGAUGUGAGCUGCGAGUAUAUACUGUUACAAAACCAAGACCAAUUUUGGACAAUGCUAUUGUUGUGGCAAUUAAUUUAUCGAAAACUUGGUGUGCAGAAGCAAACCCAAGAAUUUUAAGAGCAAACAAUGUCCAAAUCACCAAUACAAUCAAUUUUGUGAAAUUGAUUCACAAGGCUACGUCCUCGGAUAAUUCCUAGAUUUACCAUGAAAUUUUACAUUUAAAAGAAGCAUGAUAAACAUCCUUUAUUUUAAAAUUAUGGAUUCUCUCAUGAUUUAAAUUCUCGUAGGAGCAAUUCAUAGUGGUGAUGGUUAUUAAUAUAUAAAAAUGUAAUGAUAGUUUAGUUUAAUCCCAACCAUUAUUUGUGACAAACACUUGGCGCAAGAUCUUAGACUCUUAAAUCGAAAUGAAUAAAUGUUUUAAACCUCAGUCGCAUUUAAACUUGUAUAAACUAAAAAUAGUCAAUUUCUAUUUUAAAUAAUCACAUUUAAGAUAGUUUAUGUGUUGAUCAAAUACUUGUUUAGACUUGUUUAGGCUUUCAAACUAUAUAUGUUGAUCAAAUACACUGAGUAUGAGAUGUGGCUUGCAAAACAGCUAAGGCAAAAUAGUCCCCAAAUAAUUAAACCAGAUUAAUUUCCACAACUGACAAAUAGAAGUGUCGUACAUUUUUCAAAGAGCGUGUCUUAAUCGUGCCGAUUAACAUCCAAAAUGUCUUUGUUAUUAGUCGAUUACUACUAGCUAUUAUUGUUAUUAUUAUAACAGUUACCACGAAAACAUCGUCGAGAUAUUUCAUCCAUCUCACCCCAUUUUCAUGCACAAAUAAAUUGAAAAAGAAAAAUCACUUAUGAAUGAUGAGAAUCGAGCCUCUUGCAACAUAUCUACAUGGUAUAUUUUAACCAGGCACUGAGUGUAGCUAGGGACAACAUGCGAUGGUCAGCCUCUUGCAACAUACCUAAACUUCAGUAUGAUUGGUAAUCAACAAAAGUACUAGUCAAUCUUGACUUCAAACUCAAGGGAAGCAUCUUUAUCCGAAUUAAAGAGAUCCAGUCUAUCAUUUAUUGUUGUAUUGUUAGCAUACAAUUAUUACCAGAGAAUACAAGCAUAUAGAGGUUCUGCCCGAGGCUGAGAACGAAGAAGAGAAGAAGAAAUGGGCGGUAACACGGCGAGCGUUUGUGCAAGAGCUGAAGAAGGUGAGCUUCUUGGCAGCGCCUCUUGCCGGGGUAACUGUUUUUCAGUUGCUUUUGCCGGCUGUAUCAACGAUGAUGGUGGGACACCUUGGAAAACUUUCGCUUGCUAGCAUUACCAUCGCCACCUCUCUCACCAAUGUCACUGGCUUCACUCCACUCGUAAUUUUUUUUUCUUAAUUUUUACCAUUAAAAUGCCCUUCUAUAUAGGGCGUUACUUUUGAUUCUAUUUUCUUUUCUUUACUUUAGCUUGACUUUCAUGGGUGAUCAGAGCAAUCAACUUGAUAAAAUAGUAAGGGUAUAACAAAGGUUUUUCAUCAAACAAACAGUUUUAUAUACGUAUUUAGCUUAAAAGCUAUAGCUGCUAGGAAGCAAUACCAAAAGGAGUCUGAAUAUAUAAUUCGCUAUACCAUUCCACUCACCAGAGCGAAUAAUAUUUUCAUGUUCUGCUUGAGUUUGAACAAGAAUUAUACUCUAACUAACCAUUUUGGUGUGCUACUGUACUUAACUAGAUUUGCGAUAAUUGCUUAUAUGUUUCUUCUUUAUUUCAAUCUGUUAAGAUUAGCCUGCAACAUGAUAUCUUAGUAUUUGUGUUUCUGAAUCAGUACAAACUUGUCAAAUACAUGUAUAAUGUUGACGUUAACUUUAAAUUUUGAACAGUUUGGUUUUGCCUGUGCAUUAGAGACUCUAUGUGGACAAGCUUAUGGCGCAGAACAAUAUCAAAAGAUUGGGACGUAUACUUACUCUGCUAUGUUCUUUUGCAUUGCAAUAUGUCUCCCAAUCUCUGUUCUUUGGAUAUUCAUGGACAAAAUAUUAAUGCUGCUACACCAAAACCCUCAGAUUUCUGUUGAAGCCCGCAAUUAUGCAAUCUGGCUUAUACCAGCAUUAUUCGGCUAUGCGAUUCUUCGAUCACUGUGUCACAAUCUCCAGGCUCAGAGCUUGAUUCUAACAUUGUUCUUAAGCUCAUGUACAACUCUAUGUUUGCAUAUUCUUCUUUGUUGGGUUCUAGUGUUUAAAGCCGACUUUGGAAGUACCGGAGCAGCAUUAUCCAUUAGUAUGUCUUAUUGGUUCAAUGUGAUCAUCCUUGCUCUUUACAUGAGACACUCUCCAUCGUGUACAAAAACUCGCACUUUGAUCUCCAAGGAAAUUUUGCCUUGCAUGAAGGAGUUUACCGCCUUCGCUCUCCCCUCGGUUUUCAUGUUUUGGUAUAAUUUGUCAAUCUCACUUUGCAAUGUUAUUGUUAGUUUCUGUUAUUAUUGGUUUACUUACAGCGUGCUGUUUCGUUCCCAAUAAUUAUAGUCUUGAAUGGUGGUUCUAUGAGAUUCUGAUAUUACUGUCGGGACUUUUACCAAACCCCAAACUUGAAACAUCAGUUAUAUCUAUAUGGUACACUUCUGACAUCACUUGUGGUUUGCUUUUGGUGAAUUUUUUGGGGAAACUCUCAAUAGGGUUGAAUUGAUUUUCUUUGAUCUCCAUAUGCAGCUUUACAAUCCAGGCAACACACUAUUUUAUACCAUUUGGAAUUGGUGCUGCCGCAAGGUUUGAUCUAUGUCCUAUUUCAAAAGAGAUGCAAGUGGCAUAUGCAUUAUUUCUGUGUACUGAGAUUUUCUGUAGCAUUCGAGUGUCAAAUCAAUUAGGAGCUGGAAAUCCACAGCCAGCUCGGUUGGCUACCCGUGUUGCGGUGGCUCUUGCUGCCGCAGAGGCAGCCAUAGUGAGCAUAGCUCUAUUCUGCAGCCGAUAUGUCUUGGCAUAUGCAUUCAACAGUGACCAGGACGUCGUGAAAUAUGUGUCUAGAUUAGCUCCUCUGCUUAGUAUUGCUAUAUUCAUGGACAACAUGCAAUCGGUACUUUCCGGUGAGAAUCCUAACAUUCUAUCAGGAUUUAUUUGCACUCAUCUAAUGCUUAAAUAGCAGUGAACAUGCAGCUAAUAAUUUAAUUUUCGCGAAUUUACCUUUCUCGUCAGGGGUAGCUAGAGGAAUUGGGUGGCAGCACAUAAGGGCUUAUAUAAAUCUUGGUGCAUUUUAUCUCGUUGGAAUCCCGGUAGCGUAUGUGCUAUGUUUUUCAGUUCAUCUCAGAACGAAAGGCCUUUUGCUUGGAUUAAUGUCAGGCUCAACCGUACAAGCAGUUGCGCUUGCCGUCGUUACUUCAUUAACCAAUUGGCAAAAACAGGUUUCUGUAAUUCAUUUUUACUUUUGUUCUACGUGUUUGUUUCUUUGACAAUAUAUUAAUCAUCCUCUAAUCUGUUGGCUGACACUGAAUUUUUCAUAAUUUCAUGUGGAUAUUUUUCCAGGCAACCAUGGUCAGGGAAAGAAUAUUGGAGGGAGCACCUUCUACUGAAAAUCCAUCGGUUUGAUCCACCUGGGCUAGUAAUUAAUUACCCUGUUUUGUUUUUCAUCGUAACAAAUUACAUUCUCGAGACGAGAGCUGUAAAAUUUAACAGUGCUGGCAUUCUGACAAGCACCGGGUGACAAUUAUCGAACAGUUGGUAAGCAGAAGCAAAUAAACCCAACAAUAAGCACUAAUUUUUUAUAACAGCUAGUCAGCUACCACAAACAAUUUUUUUUUUCUUUAUAAUGAACUUCAGAAGAGAGAGAGAGGGGGGUAAAAAGCUAUAAUAAUAAUUAAAAAAAAAAAACUUAGAAAUAACUCCUAAUAAUAAUAAUAAUCAGGUGGAUCAUAGUACGCCACUACGCCUUAUAAUUCGUAAUAAAAGUAUACUGCUGAAACAUAAAUUUAAAAAAAAAAAAAAAAACACUCGAUGAGAUAACAAUACAAAGAAACAGCUAAACCAAUUAUUUAGAAAACCAUAUUUGCAUACCACAAACUAAUUUAAAGAUAACGUACGAUAUAACAGCAGUAGCAGAAAUAAGGUUGAUACAAUAAUUAAUGAAGCUCUACGCUACACCAAUUAGUGGUACCAUACCAUGCAUGAUCCAUCACACAGAGGAAAAAGAAAAAAAAAAAAGAUUUUAUUUAGCUUACUAUAUAUAUACGUAUUGCCAGCAGCCUGCAUGCUAGUACGGGGGAGGGGGAGGAUGAGGAGGGCGGUUCCAAGGCGGCGUUGGCCUGUAGGGAUCAUAGUUAUAAGGAGGUGCGGGACCGGGGGGGCCCGGAGGCGCUGCAAAAGGAGGGGGUGGAGAGUGAUGGUGAUGGUACCGAGGAGGUGGUGGAGGAGGCGGAUGGAACAAUUCGGGGCGGGGUGGCGGUGGUGGUGGAGGUGAAGGACCGUAAACGUGAGGUGGCGGCGGUGGGUGAGGAGCAUAUGGAUCUGCUGCCGCUGGUGGUGGUGGUGGUGGUGGAGGACCUGGACCUGGACGGUGGUGUCUAUGAAAUGCCAUGUUUUUGAAAGUUAGGUGAUCAAUACAAAGUGCUGUGCUGUUGUUUUUGUUUUAAGGGAUUUGGAGUUGUUUGUAUGUAUUUCCUUUGACGGUUCGUCGGAUGACGUGCCCAUGUUUGUGCCUCGGCUUCCUCAGCCAAUCAGAUUUUUAUUUUUGUCAAAAUUCGUUUCGUCUCCUCAUAUACUCCGUUUCAAGAGUGCAUCAUAUUU